AGGGACACUUCCUUAGGCUGCCAGCAGGAAGGAAGUGAGCCCAGCCCAGCCGGACGGAGCUGGGGAAACUCUGCCCUGACUCGACUCUUCUAUUGUUCAUAGCUUUGGGGUUAGCUAGGUAGAUCCAGUACAGGGAGUUCCCCAGGCAGGAUGGUGGUGGUGAGAUAGGAUACUGCCUGAUAUGGGGAGCCUUGGAUCCUGGACAGGAGGCCCAAACAGGGGCCUAACUCCUGGUUUAUUACAGGGGAUGGCAGUUGCUGUCUGGUAUGGGGAGCCUUGGCCCCUAAAUAGGGGCCUAGCUCUUGGCUUAUUGGUUUAUUACAGGGGAUGGCAGUUGGUCUACAGAACUGCAAAUCUAUGUUGAACAGGAUAAUCUUACUCAAGACUCGACAAGUUCCAGCUUUCAGCAACUUGAAGGCCAAUUGCCCUGACCUGAGUUGAUGAACUCCUCCUUCCUAAUUGGGUUUUUUGUUUUGUUUAGUUUAGUUUUUAAACUUCUUGAGUUUAUUAUGGCCAAAGGCUAGGCGGGCAGAGAACCUGCUCAGAGCAGCCCUUGAGGAAUGUAGGCAGAAUGUCCGCUGGCAGCAGAGAGCUGAGGAAGUGUUGGGCUUUACAACAGAAGCUGCGCCUGCGCCAGAAGCCUGAGCUCGCCUCCCUUCUGAUGGCUGACUGGUGAGUGUGAAGUCUGAUGAAGUCAGGCUGAGCUGGAAGACACGAAGGUCUUAAGACUCUCAGAGGCCGUCUUAGCUGUAUUGUGGAGGAGCCGCUCCCUAAGAGACAAGCCUCAGUCAAUUCUCUAAAAAGGCCAUCUGGGCGGUCAAGAGCUGAACGCCGCUUGAUUUUCCCUUCUCCUUGCUUUGACUGGGACCCAAAAUAUGAUAGUCGACUGGUUCAAAUGUAGGGGGGCGUUUCUCAUUCCCGGAUGUCCUCCCAAAGGCAGAUACCCAUGCCCUUACCCGCGGCGCGUGAAUACGAAGGGAGGCACUGCUCGGGCUCGAGACCGCACCAAAGACUGCUCGGAGCCUGCCGCCUCUGGGCCGCCGCCCCCCGCGGUGGAAGCGAAGGGCCAGAGGCCCCGAGCUUUGGAGCCGCUGGCGCCCAUGUCAGCGCCGCCGGCGCAUGGCGGACCCAGCGGCCGCUCCGCUCUCACAGCGCGGCGGGCGCGACCAUGCCCUGGCCCAGCUUCCACUCGCAGGUGCCGCCGCCGCCGCCGCCUUCCGCAGGCUCUGCUGUCUCCACGGAAACCUCACUUCCGCUUCCGCACGUCCUGCACGGUGCCUCCUCUGAGUGGCUAAAGGUCUCGUCAGUCUGUGGUGUAGAACCAAUAGCCGCUCUCAGAGGCUGAACACCCUAGGAUGCGCUGCCCCCAGGUUCACGGGAGCCUAUGGGUCCCAAGGGUCAGUUGGGACUGCUCCCUCCCAAAAGGCGGAGGUAACGUGUUGUUGUUGACUUUAAGGUCGCACGGGGUAUAACUGCUCCCACGUCCCUGACGCCGCCCAGAACUCGGGCCCAGUAGCAAUAGUCAAUUAGGUCAUCCCCCCAACCUCAAAGGGACCUUAGGCUUGCCUCAGGCUAAGGUACAUUUAGCUCUUCUCACAACCAUAUCUUUGCAGGUGUUUGCUUGUAAGAAAUUAAAGAACUUGCUAAA